AUGUUCAACAUGAUCUCUGUAGCUCUGCUGCUACUGGCUGCUGGAUCCUGUGUGAAGUGUGAAACACUGACACAACCAGCCUCCGUGACUGUUCAGCCUGGUCACAGUCUGACCCUCACCUGUCAGGUCUCUUAUUCUUUGGGCAGCUAUCCAACAGCUUGGAUCAGACAGCCUGAAGGGAAAGGACUGGAAUGGAUUGGUAGAGCAGGUUCUGGAUGGACCACUUCCUACAAAGAUUCACUGAAGAACAGAUUCAGUAUUGCCUUCGACACUUCCAGUAAGACAGUGACUCUGAAUGGACAGAAUAUGCAGCCUGAAGACACGGCUGUGUAUUACUGUGCGAGACGCCACAGCAACACAAACCAUCAGCAGACCUGAACAAAAACCUCAGAGCCUGAAAACUUUUCCUAUUCCCCACCAGAGGAGGAGCUCUGAGACAAGAAAUGAUGUCAGACAAUCUGAAAAUUUCAAUAGCUUGCAAUUUGGUGUGAGGGGAACUUUUGUUCCCCCAGAAAGAAAAGAAACUGACUCUGCCACUUAAUCAAUGUUAACACACAACUACAUUUCUUUUUUUUA